rnacentral:tRNA from 1 species
GCACCACCUGGCCGACGUGGCGGCCGGUGCCGAGAGCAUCGGGCGGGCCCUGGCCCGGGCCGACAGCUCCCACACCGUCGUGGUGCGC